AGUCGAACGAUACCAGAGAGCUUGCUUUCUGGGAAAGUGGCGCACGGGUGCGUAACGCGUAUGCAACCUACCUUAAUCAGGGGGAUAGCCUCUCGAAAGAGAGAUUAACACCGCAUAAAAUCACACUUCGGCAUCGAAGAAUGAUCAAAUAUUUAUAGGAUUAAGAUGGGCAUGCGUGACAUUAGUUUGUUGGUGAGGUAACGGCUCACCAAGACUACGAUGUCUAGGGGAUCUGAGAGGAUGACCCCCCACACUGGUACUGAGACACGGACCAGACUCCUACGGGAGGCAGCAGUAAGGAAUAUUGGUCAAUGGGGGCAACCCUGAACCAGCCAUGCCGCGUGCAGGAAGACGGCCCUACGGGUUGUAAACUGCUUUUAUACGGGAAUAAAUCUCGCUACGUGUAGUGAGUUGAAUGUACUGUAAGAAUAAGGAUCGGCUAACUCCGUGCCAGCAGCCGCGGUAAUACGGAGGAUCCAAGCGUUAUCCGGAUUUAUUGGGUUUAAAGGGUGCGUAGGCGGCCUAUUAAGUCAGGGGUGAAAGACGGUGGCUCAACCAUCGCAGUGCCCUUGAUACUGAUGGGCUUGAUUACACUUGAGGUAGGCGGAAUGUGACAAGUAGCGGUGAAAUGCAUAGAUAUGUCACAGAACACCAAUUGCGAAGGCAGCUUACUAAGGUGUCAAUGACGCUGAGGCACGAAAGCGUGGGGAUCAAACAGGAUUAGAUACCCUGGUAGUCCACGCCCUAAACGAUGGAUACUCGAUGUUAGCGAUAUACAGUUAGCGUCAAAGCGAAAGCGUUAAGUAUUCCACCUGGGGAGUACGCCCGCAAGGGUGAAACUCAAAGGAAUUGACGGGGGCCCGCACAAGCGGAGGAGCAUGUGGUUUAAUUCGAUGAUACGCGAGGAACCUUACCCGGGCUUGAAAGUUACUGAAUGAUCUAGAGAUAGGUCAGUCCGCAAGGACAGGAAACUAGGUGCUGCAUGGCUGUCGUCAGCUCGUGCGUGAGGUGUUGGGUAGUCCCGCACGAGCGCACCCUUAUCAU
rnacentral:rRNA from 1 species